AUGAAGAUACUUGUGAAGGCGGAUGUCAUCUAGACUAUGGCUGUGCUGGUCCGGGCACUUCAUAGCUUUGGGCUGUGCAAGCUGCCAGUUUAAGACAAGCAUAUAUUAAAGCAAACAACUUUAAAACAAACAAGCAAGACAAAAGAAAAAGAUUGCAUGCGUGCAAGCUCCCAUCUCGUCUCAAAUUGUUAACAUUCCUCUCAUUCUCUUUAAGGAAAAUUGUCUUAAUGAAGAAGCUGUGAAGCAUUAUGGAAUUGUGAAGUCAUUCAACUAUUAACGCCUAGAUUCCGAGCUUCAGAACACAGUGUCCCCCUGGCAUGUACAAUGAACUGAGUGUUGGAAGGGAAGAGUUUGGAUGAAACAACGGUGCUUGUCUAGGUUGGAAAAAGGAGGGGAGAGCCAAGAGGGGUGUUGCUUCUUAUAGUUAAAAAGUUUGAUCAUGAAAAGAAAUACCUGCUGGCCAUUCCUUCCAGCCUUACCAUCAUCCUGAGAGUCCUCUUCAGCUCUCUCUUUGCCACCGCUAUCAAUGCCAGAGCUUCCAUAGCUGAUGUUUGAGCUGCAGGACUUCUCCUUCCGAUGAACCCGAUCCAUCCCAAAGGGCUCAUCCACCGACAUCUCCACUGAAAUCCGAUGCCUUGAGUCGGCCUCAAUGCCCGACGUGUGAGAGCUGCCAUGGCUGUCGGUCGACUGUCGAGACAGACGGUUGUUCUUCUCACUUCCUCUGCUGCUUCCACUGCCGUGCGAAUGCUUGUCGGAUGGGUCAAGGUCCAUCUCCAAUGUGUCACUGAUGUAGGAUUCCCGAUAUCGUUUCUUCUCUGCAACAAGUGAGUAGGGUGGAAAGGAAAGUUUGGAAUAAGAGAAACUUAAAUCUCUUGCCACCUGUGCUGGCCUGAUCACAUGACAACACUGCAUACAAAUAGUGAUACAUAUAUUUAAUAAUUAUUAUGGUGGAAGGCUCACCACCACCAGAGUCUCUGCAUGGAGCAAGUGCUCUUGGGAGUGGCCCUCACAAUCUAUCCAGCAACCAUCAGUCUUACCCAGAAGUGAAGCAAAAGGAAGAAGGGCCAUGGAGACAAAAUGGCUAUAGUGGUUUCUCAUUCAUAAAUCCACCCAUUCAUUACAUUUCCAUGUGGCCUGAUUAUAAUAAAACUUUCAAACCUCCAA